GAUGAACGCUGGCGGCGUGCCUAAUACAUGCAAGUCGAGCGAAUGGAUUAAGAGCUUGCUCUUAUGAAGUUAGCGGCGGACGGGUGAGUAACACGUGGGUAACCUGCCCAUAAGACUGGGAUAACUCCGGGAAACCGGGGCUAAUACCGGAUAACAUUUUGAACCGCAUGGUUCGAAAUUGAAAGGCGGCUUCGGCUGUCACUUAUGGAUGGACCCGCGUCGCAUUAGCUAGUUGGUGAGGUAACGGCUCACCAAGGCAACGAUGCGUAGCCGACCUGAGAGGGUGAUCGGCCACACUGGGACUGAGACACGGCCCAGACUCCUACGGGAGGCAGCAGUAGGGAAUCUUCCGCAAUGGACGAAAGUCUGACGGAGCAACGCCGCGUGAGUGAUGAAGGCUUUCGGGUCGUAAAACUCUGUUGUUAGGGAAGAACAAGUGCUAGUUGAAUAAGCUGGUACCUUGACGGUACCUAACCAGAAAGCACCGGCUAACUACGUGCCAGCCGCCGCGGUAA
rnacentral:rRNA from 1 species